GUAGUAGCUCAACGGCAGGACACCUGCUGGGCAUGCAGAAGGCCCCAGGUUCAGUCCCUGGCAGCAUCU